UUAGAAAUAAUUCCAAUAAAUUGGAAUUUAUUUACUGCAACACAGUUUAUCACUGUACCAUUCUCACAGGAAGGUUUGGGAUGAUCUCUUCCUCAUCUGUGCUGAGUGGCAACUUAUUUCACCCACGUGGGACAUCUCGACAACGAAAUCCCUUUAACCAGCAGUUCCAGAGGGGCCAUGGAGCGAACACAGCACAGCUCCCUGGCCAGAACUCAAGGACAGGACCCAUGCUGGACUGCUGUCACUGUGCCAGGUCACAGGACUCAGCUGGACCACUGGUGGUGCAAUGGAGGAAGCAGGACACAGGAGGGAAAGCCCACAAUAAUGCAGGGCCCAGGGUGCAGCUGGCAAGGAAGCCCUCGGGGAGGACAAGACUGACCAUGGAGAAGCUGGAAUGGUGGAUUCAGGACUGCUGACAGGAGCAGAUCUAUUUACAGCUUCCAGUAUGCAAUCCUGAAUUCAGCCUACAGCUACAGGCUUGCAGGUGAGGAUCCCACACAGGACUGGGGAGAAAACAUUGCUCUCUGCUCAUGUCUUUGUCUUUCUACCAGCCCAAGGCAGAACCAUCUUCAGGUAAGCAGACUUUUUAGGCACAGUUCAGGGGACUCAUCAGUUCCUCCUAGAAAAUGAGCCUGCACCUUAAACAGCACAGUAACUCCUGUGUGCUCAUCUGGAGAAGGUCACAUCACCUUCUAAUGGGACACAGGUUAGCAGUGCUACAGUAACCGUAGGAUAAUGCAGGGAAAGAGUUGUUAUAAGGCCAUAAUUCAGUCAAUGACUGCUGAUAACAUAAUAAACCAUGAGAGUGAACACCAAGUGCUUGUGUGCCUUGCAAGGCUCUGCCACUGAUUUACAGCCUCCAGAGAUGCCUAUCAGCCCAUGCAUUGUUAUCAGGGAUAUAUAAAGCCUG